AGAGUUUGAUCCUGGCUCAGGACGAACGCUGGCGGCGUGCCUAACACAUGCAAGUCGAACGAGAAAGUGGAGCAAUCCAUGAGUAAAGUGGCGACCGGGUGAGUAACACGUGACUAACCUACCUCCGAGUGGGGAAUAACUCCGGGAACCGGGGCGUAAUACCGCAUAACAUCGCAAGAUCAAAGCAGCAAUGCGCUUGG
rnacentral:rRNA from 1 species